GUGGUGCUGAGGGGUGCUUUGCCACUGAGCCACAUCCCAGCCCUUUUUGUUUUUUGUUUUGAGACAGGGCCUUGCUAAGUUGCUGAUGCUGUCCUUGAACUUGCAACCCUCCUGCCUCAGCCUUCCUGGUCACUGUGAUGACAGGCGUAGCCACUGUGUCCAGCUGUAAAAGCAUUUUCUCAUGACUCUUGGAAUCCGUGUUUGCCAUGAAUGUAGCCUGACAGGGGCCAGAGGGCACCUCAACCAGUCAGCCACACAUGGGGUGGGAGACCAGGUGGCAGGACUUGGUUUUUAGGUGGAACCCUCCCACACCAAAAGACCAGCACCAAGCAGAGCUCUGCAGAGUUCAGGAGUCUGCCUUUUGGAGGCCGGGCUGGCGGAGGUGGGGUUGGCAGAGGUGGGCUGGUCAGGGCGGUGUCGUGGCCCCGUCUGCUCAUAAAGGGAGCCUGCGUAGCACAGGCACAGGAAGAACCCUGUUCCUGCCGCUAUAGUUACUUGAGAGGGCUCUGAGGAUGUGUAGUUUGUGUUUUGAGGUUUGGGCCAGUUUUGGUUGUCAUCAUGCUCUAAAUUGGGGUCUCACUAUGUUGCUGAGCCUGGCCUUAAACUCACGGUCCUCCUGCCUCAGCCUCCCCAGUAGCUAGGAUGUCAGGCAUGUCCACCACGCCGGCUUACUUCCCUUCCCUAAGGUAGGUGCGAGGUGCCUGAGGCACCAUGUUCCCACCCUGGCAGCCCACCAGGGGCUGCUGGUUGUCCCCGGAUAUCCGGGGCUCCAGACGAGUGCUGCCAGUCACACACCCUACACCGUCUAUCUGCUCUUUGCUCCGGGUGGUGUCCUGUGGUCUUCUCUUGGGUGGACCCUCAGCCGAGGUGUUGGUUUGGUGGGUGCUUUGCCCUGGCAGCUUCCCUGCUAAGGCGACUUGGGCGUCUGUGGCACUUGCUUCCUCUGCUGUUCUGUUGACCGUGCCCCAGGGCAAAGCUUUGUCCCUGCUGGCUGAGACUGGAGAGGCUUCCUCCGGCUCUGUUGGCUUCUGGCCCCUUGGAUGGUUGCUCCUGGAGCAAAGCUGAUCCCAGCCUCCGGUGCCUGGGCUGAAUGUUCUGGAAGGCCAUCAGCUAGCUUUGAUUUUGAAUGUAGUGGUUGCUUCUCGGGCCACUGUCCUCUCUGUGGAGCUUCCUUAUAGGUGCCCUGGCGGCGAGCCUGGCUUGUCACUUCCUUCCCACAGCAGAGGGUACAUGCUUGGGGGGCCGCAGAGCUGCUGCUGCUGCUCCCCAGGAGGUUUCCCACCCCCCACAGGCAGGAGAGCAGCGAAGCCACACCUGAUCCCCUCACAGCUCCUGAGACCUGAGAUGUCCGAAACAGUUGAAAGGCAUCACUUUGUUGAAUGGCUCGGCUGGAAGCUCUUCACCUGCCUGCUCCUCAGCCACGCCUGCGCCCUCCCUCCGGCCCAGCCAGCAGUGUCAAGGAGCCUCGCUCCACAGUGCGUGACUGACGACCACCACAGGGCCACCCUGUGAGGCACCUUCCUUCAGCAGGAUGGAAGAGAAACCCAGGGGCUGCUGCCAGACACAGCCUUGCCCCCUGAGAGGCUUGGGCACAGCCCCAGAACGUGGACGGGGCUCUGUCCCAAGGGGCCGAGCUGGCCCUGGUGUGGAGCUGGAUUCUGACCGCAGCUUCAAGUCGGUUGCGGACAGGGCGGGUGGUAAAGCCUCUGCUACCUUGGAACAGCUCGAGAUCUCUGUAGUGCGUCGGCAUGCUUUCCAGGGGCAUCUGGGUUUGUAGUGGGGGUUUCACCUGGAGACACACAUAAGGCUUUCACAGUAAAAGAGAAGAAAAUGCCAGUUCUGCUAAGCCUCGCAAGCACACGGUCCAACAGGCAGGCUGGGUGCGGCUCAAGCACUGAGGCCCGGGGUCCCGUCCCAGCACCAGAAACAAAACAAAAGUGUAUGGUGUGUUUCAAACAUAAAGCCCCUGAGAACAGGAGUACAGUCAAAUAGCGUCUGGGCUGUAGAAUGCGACCUCACUGCCAAUAAAGCAGACCUGAGGCCCCCUGGGCAGCGACCGUGGGGCCUCACUCGUGCUGCCCUUGACCUUGGCCUCCAGCCUUGCACAGUGUACCCACUGCACCCCGAGCUGCUACCUUCCAAGCUCAGCAUGCAGGAGCCAGGGUUUCCCUCAGCAGUGCUGAAAGAUGGGUGUGCUUGAUGCCCAGGUCUCCGGCUGCCUGUGCUGGCCUCUCACCACUGGGGGGCCCUAGGAGGAGGGUGCUAGAGAGGCCAGCAGCGGAAGAGCUGUGUCCCCAAGUUAAGAGCCUCCUCAAAGCAAGAAUCACUGAGGUAGCUCAGCCCUGGGAUUCUGGGAGAAUCUCUUCCUUUGGGUUUUCAUGUCUUGGACUCUGUCUUCUGUGUUUCCGUGUGCUCCCACUGAGAUGUUCUUUGGAAGCCAUAUCCAGCAGAAUCAUCAUUAUUUGCCACUGGAAGGACAUGUCCUACUUCCUGAUGGUCCCUGGGCAUCCCACCACUGGCCUUGACCUUGGGUUCCACACUGCAUUUUGAUGCCUGUUCUUCCCUCAGGGUCUUGGUCCCUUGAGAACAAGUAAGAACAUGUCAGGAGAGAGGCCAGGUGGGGGACCUGGACGUCUCUGGUGAGCCCCGUCCAUCCUCAGGACCUCGAUGUCUCCAGGAAUUCAGUGAACUGUGAGCAAAACUGUAUCAAUGGGUCUUGCCGCCUUUGUGUUCUAAAUCUAAUCUGGAAUGCGUGCCUCCCUCUGCCCCAGCAAACAUUCAGAGCAAAGAGCCACUCAGAGACCACAGCCCAGGGAGGAUGGGAGAGCAGGCAUCAAUGGAGUUGGGCUAAAAUACCAGUUUUCCUCCACCAGUGGUGGCCAGAGCAUGUCCAGCUUCCUGCCUGAGCUCCCACCCCCAGGUUGGUCCCCAGCCCAGGCAUUGCUGUCAUGGAGACAGCGGGCAGCAGCACUGCAGUGCCAGGCGGCUGUCUCUGAGCAACAGGUGGUUCCAGCAGCAGCAGCAGCAGGAGACCUGCUCGUGGACCGAGGGCGGCUUUAUAGGGCGAAGCUGCGACGUCUCCAGUUCCUGGGCCUCACAAGCUGUUUGCUCUCACACCAGCUGUGUGUGAGCGGGCGGCCACUGUUUAAAGGCUGGCCGGUUUCACAGUGAGUCUUGAGUCCCAGCAGUGCUUCACCCGGGCAGCUCUGGCCACCCUGGACACACAGUGCACCAGCCCCAAGCUGGCCCAGGGACACGGAGUCCUCCUUCAGUGGUCUCACUGUCCCAGCACCAGGUCAGCUAUUCCUAUUUCACAGUGCCUCGGCCCCAAAUCCUCUUGGCGCGCACCAGAACCACUGGAGUCGUCAACCCUCCCAUCCCUUCCUGCACCUGUAGCGUUGCUCUAUGGACUAGUGUUAUUCGGGAAGCCAGCGCCUGAGGAGGGGUCACGUCACAGUCUGAUCAUUUGAAGAGGUGCGGAGACCCUGGCCCGGGAGCACUGCCUCCUCCCCCGGGUGAGGCCACAGCAGAAAAGCCCUCACCAGCCUGUCAGCUCCACGCCUUGACCUUGGGCUCCAGCCCCCAGAACUGUGAGCAAUAAACCUCUGUGCUUUACAAGUC